AGAGUUUGAUCCUGGCUCAGAUUGAACGCUGGCGGAAUGCUUUACACAUGCAAGUCGAACGGUAGAGGGGGCAACCCCUUGAGAGUGGCGAACGGGUGAGUAAUAUAUCGGAACGUGCCCAGUCGUGGGGGAUAACGUAGCGAAAGUUACGCUAAUACCGCAUACGAUCUAAGGAUGAAAGCGGGGGAUCGCAAGACCUCGCGCGAUUGGAGCGGCCGAUAUCAGAUUAGGUAGUUGGUGGGGUAAAGGCUCACCAAGCCAACGAUCUGUAGCUGGUCUGAGAGGACGACCAGCCACACUGGAACUGAGACACGGUCCAGACUCCUACGGGAGGCAGCAGUGGGGAAUUUUGGACAAUGGACGCAAGUCUGAUCCAGCCAUUCCGCGUGCAGGAUGAAGGCCCUCGGGUUGUAAACUGCUUUUGUACGGAACGAAAAGGUUUGUCUUAAUACGAUGAGCUCAUGACGGUACCGUAAGAAUAAGCACCGGCUAACUACGUGCCAGCAGCCGCGGUAAUACGUAGGGUGCAAGCGUUAAUCGGAAUUACUGGGCGUAAAGCGUGCGCAGGCGGUUAUGUAAGACAGAGGUGAAAUCCCCGGGCUCAACCUGGGAACUGCCUUUGUGACUGCAUAACUAGAGUACGGUAGAGGGGGAUGGAAUUCCGCGUGUAGCAGUGAAAUGCGUAGAUAUGCGGAGGAACACCGAUG
rnacentral:rRNA from 1 species